rnacentral:rRNA from 1 species
UGGGGAAUAUUGCACAAUGGGCGAAAGCCUGAUGCAGCAACGCCGCGUGAGUGAUGAAGGCCUUCGGUUGUAAAGCUCUGUCUUUUGGGACGAUAAUGACGGUACCAAAGGAGGAAGCCACGGCUAACUACGUGCCAGCAGCCGCGGUAAUACGUAGGUGGCAAGCGUUGUCCGGAUUUACUGGGCGUAAAGGAUGCGUAGGCGGAUUUUUAAGUGAGAUGUGAAAUACCCGGGCUUAACUUGGGUGCUGCAUUUCAAACUGGGAAUCUAGAGUGCGGGAGAGGAGAAUGGAAUUCCUAGUGUAGCGGUGAAAUGCGUAGAGAUUAGGAAGAACACCAGUGGCGAAGGCGAUUCUCUGGACCGUAACUGACGCUGAGGCAUGAAAAGCGUGGAUAGCAAAACAGGAAUUAGAUACCCUGGUAGUCCACGCCGUAAAC